UGAUUUGAUGCAGGUUGUUCAGGUUGAC
rnacentral:piRNA from 1 species